GCUAGGCAUGGUGGCACAUGCCUGUAAUCCCAGUAACUUUGAAGGCUGAGGCAGGAGGAUUGCCAGUUUGAGGCCAGCCUCAGUAACUUAGCGAGGCUCUCAGAAACUUAGUGAGGUCCUGUCUCAC
rnacentral:sRNA from 1 species